ACCCCAUCAGUGAAAUGUAGAAUAUGGCUAAGAUCAAAGUGUAGUAUCUGUUCUUAUCAGCUUAAUAUCUGAUACGGUCCCUAUUUGGGACCAUCGAUAUUAAACUGAUUUUAAGAACGAGGCGAAGAGUUAGGGGCUUGCACUGCUUUUGCCACGGGUUGGCCUGGUAUAGCAGUACUUCCAGGAUUCAGCCCAUCUAAG
rnacentral:snRNA from 1 species